rnacentral:rRNA from 1 species
AGGGUGUAAACGCUGCAGACUUGGUGUUGGAAGUCCUUUGGGGGCAUUCAGUGCCGGAGAGAAGUUGUUAAGUCUGCUACUUGGGGAGUACGUCCGCAAGGAUGAAGCUUAAAGGAAUUGGCGGGGGGAGCACCGCAACGGGAGGAGCGUGCGGUUUAAUUGGAUUCAACACCGUAAAACUCACCAGGGAAGACUGUUACAUGAAAGCCGAGAUGAAGACUCUGCUAGAUUUCAGAGAGGAGGUGCAUGGCGUCAGUGACU